rnacentral:misc_RNA from 1 species
CUUGAAGCUACAAAAUGAAAUUGGAAACAUUACGAGACAGGAGGCUGUUAGCAUGGUUCCUCCCCUGUUCCUGGAUGUACGUCCUGAUCAUUUUGCUCUUGACAUGUGCGCCGCUCCCGGUUCGAAAACAUUUCAGUUGCUUGAGAUGAUACACCACUUAGCUGAACCAGGGACAUUACCUAGUGGAAUGGUCAUAGCAAAUGAUGUUGAUGUCCAAAGGUGUAACCUUCUUAUUCACCAAACAAAGAGGAUGUCUACUGCCAACUUGAUCGUCACAAACCAUGAAGCGCAGCACUUCCCGAGCUGUCGUUUAGAUAGAAAUUUUGCAAAUGGUUCUGAGACGCCAACAGUGAG